rnacentral:rRNA from 1 species
UACGAAGGGUGCAAGCGUUAAUCGGAAUUACUGGGCGUAAAGGGUGCGUAGGCGGUUAGUUAAGUCUGUCGUGAAAUCCCCGGGCUCAACCUGGGAAUGGCGAUGGAUACUGGCUAGCUAGAGUGUGUCAGAGGAUGGUGGAAUUCCCGGUGUAGCGGUGAAAUGCGUAGAGAUCGGGAGGAACAUCAGUGGCGAAGGCGGCCAUCUGGGACAACACUGACGCUGAAGCACGAAAGCGUGGGGAGCAAACAGG